rnacentral:rRNA from 1 species
CCCGGGCCUUGUACACACCGCCCGUCACGUCAUGGAAGUCGGCAACACCUGAAGUCGGUGACCUAACCGCAAGGAAGGAACUGCCGAAGGUGGGGCUGGUAACUGGGACG